rnacentral:rRNA from 1 species
UACGAAGGGGGCUAGCGUUGUUCGGAAUUACUGGGCGUAAAGCGCGCGCAGGCGGCUAUCCAAGUCAGUGGUGAAAGCCCGGAGCUCAACUCCGGAACUGCCAUUGAAACUGUUUAGCUUGAGGAUGAGAGAGGUGAGUGGAAUUCCCAGUGUAGAGGUGAAAUUCGUAGAUAUUGGGAAGAACACCGGUGGCGAAGGCGGCUCACUGGCUCGGUACUGACGCUGAGGUGCGAAAGCGUGGGGAGCAAACAGG